GAUGAAGAACGUAGCGAAAUGCGAUAAGUAAUGUGAAUUGCAGAAUUCAGUGAAUCCUCGAAUCUUUGAACGCACAUUGCGCCCCCUGGUAUUCCGGGGGGCAUGCCUGUCCGAGCGUCAUUACAACCCUCAAGCUCAGCUUGGUAUUGGGCCCCGCCGACCCGGCGGGCCCUAAAGUCAGUGGCGGUGCCGUCCGGCUCCGAGCGUAGUAAUUCUUCUCGCUCUGGAGGUCCGGUCGUGUGCUCGCCAGCAACCCCCAAUUUUUUUCAGGUUGACCUCGGAUCAGGUAGGGAUACCCGCUGAACUUAAGCAUAUCAAUAAGCGGAGGA
rnacentral:misc_RNA from 1 species